rnacentral:rRNA from 1 species
UGGGGAAUAUUGCACAAUGGGCGCAAGCCUGAUGCAGCAACGCCGCGUGAACGAUGAAGGUCUUCGGAUCGUAAAGUUCUGUUGCAGGGGAAGAUAAUGACGGUACCCUGUGAGGAAGCCCCGGCUAACUACGUGCCAGCAGCCGCGGUAAUACGUAGGGGGCUAGCGUUAUCCGGAUUUACUGGGCGUAAAGGGUGCGUAGGUGGUCUUUCAAGUCGGUGGUUAAAGGCUACGGCUCAACCGUAGUUAGCCUCCGAAACUGGAAGACUUGAGUGCAGGAGAGGAAAGUGGAAUUCCCAGUGUAGCGGUGAAUUGCGUAGAUAUUGGGAGGAACACCAGUAGCGAAGGCGGCUUUCUGGACUGCAACUGACACUGAGGCACGAAAGCGUGGGUAGCAAACAGG